rnacentral:rRNA from 1 species
AUUGAACGCUGGCGGCAUGCCUUACACAUGCAAGUCGAACGGUAACAGGUCUUCGGAUGCUGACGAGUGGCGAACGGGUGAGUAAUACAUCGGAACGUGCCCGAGAGUGGGGGAUAACGAGGCGAAAGCUUUGCUAAUACCGCAUACGAUCUCAGGAUGAAAGCAGGGGACCGCAAGGCCUUGCGCUCACGGAGCGGCCGAUGGCAGAUUAGGUAGUUGGUGGGAUAAAAGCUUACCAAGCCGACGAUCUGUAGCUGGUCUGAGAGGACGACCAGCCACACUGGGACGGAGACACGGCCCAGACUCCGACGGGAGGCAGCAGUGGGGAAUUUUGGACAAUGGGCGCAAGCCUGAUUCAGCCAUGCCGCGUGCAGGAUGAAGGCCUUCGGGUUGUAAACUGCUUUUGUACGGAACGAAAAGACUCUGGUUAAUACCCGGGGUCCAUGACGGUACCGUAAGAAUAAGCACCGGCUAACUACGUGCCAGCCGCCGCAGUAAUAC